rnacentral:SRP_RNA from 1 species
CCGUGCUAGGCGGGGAGGUAGCGGUGCCCUGUCGCUCGCAAUCCGCUCUAGCGAGGCCGAAUCCCCGGUUGAGGGGUGAGGUCGCGGGGUCGAGCUCGCCGAGUGCGGUGUCGAUGAUCCGGGUCCCGCGCGACGACGGCUCGUGAACCAGGUCAGGUCCGGAAGGAAGCAGCCUUAAGCGAUCACCGGCGGGCGCAGCGGGAGUUCCUGGGUCGGAGCCGUGUCUCGACGGAAGCGCCCGUCGAUCGCCACUUCGAGGUCGGGUGCACGG